rnacentral:rRNA from 1 species
CCUACGGGCGGCAGCAGUGAGGAAUAUUGGUCAAUGGGCGAAAGCCUGAUGGAGCAACGCCGCGUGCAGGAUGAAGGCCUUCGGGUUGUAAACUGCUUUUAUAAGCGAGAAAUAUGAUGGUAACUUAUGAAUAAGGAUCGGCUAACUACGUGCCAGCAGCCGCGGUCAUACGUAGGAUCCGAGCAUUAUCCGGAGUGACUGGGUGUAAAGAGUUGCGUAGGUGGCAUAAUAAGUAGCUAGUGAAAUCUGGUGGCUCAACCAUUCAGACUAUUAGCUAAACUGUUAAGCUCGAGACCGUUAGGGGUAACUGGAAUUUCUAGUGUAGGAGUGAAAUCCGUAGAUAUUAGAAGGAACACCAAUAGCGUAGGCAGGUUGCUGGGACGGUUCUGACACUAAGGCACGAAAGCGUAGGGAGCAAACGGGAUUAGAUACCCUUGUAGUC